rnacentral:rRNA from 1 species
AAGAGACAGCCUUAGUAGCGGCGAGCGAAACGGCAGGAGGGCAAACCGAAGUGUUUACACUUCGGGGUUGUAGGACUGCGAUAUAGGAUUAAUCAUUAUAGAAGAAUUACCUGGGAAGGUAAGCCAAAGAGAGUAACAGCCUCGUAUUUAAAAUGAUAGAUUAACCUUAGCAGUAUCCUGAGUACGGCGAGACACGCGAAAUCUCGUCGGAAUCUGGGAGGACCAUCUCCCAACCCUAAAUACUCUCUAGUGACCGAUAGUGAACCAGUACCGUGAGGGAAAGGUGAAAAGCACCCCGGGAGGGGAGUGAAAUAGAACCUGAAACCGUGUGCCUACAACAAGUUCGAGCCCGUUAAUGGGUGAGAGCGUGCCUUUUGUAGAAUGAACCGGCGAGUUACGAUAUGAUGCGAGGUUAAGUUGAAGAGACGGAGCCGUAGGGAAACCGAGUCUUAAUAGGGCGCCAUAGUAUCAUGUUGUAGACCCGAAACCAUGUGACCUACCCAUGAGCAGGUUGAAGGUGAGGUAAAACUCACUGGAGGACCGAACCAGGGCACGUUGAAAAGUGCUUGGAUGACUUGUGGGUAGCGGAGAAAUUCCAAACGAACUUGGAGAUAGCUGGUUCUCUCCGAAAUAGCUUUAGGGCUAGCGUCGAUGUUAAGUCUCUUGGAGGUAGAGCACUGUUUGGGUGAGGGGUCCAUCCCGGAUUACCAAUCUCAGAUAAACUCCGAAUGCCAACGAGAUAUAAUCGGCAGUCAGACUGCGAGUGCUAAGAUCCGUAGUCGAAAGGGAAACAGCCCAGACCACCAGCUAAGGUCCCAAAAUAUAUGUUAAGUGGAAAAGGAUGUGGGGUUGCACAGACAACUAGGAUGUUAGCUUAGAAGCAGCUAUUCAUUCAAAGAGUGCGUAAUAGCUCACUAGUCGAGUGACCCUGCGCCGAAAAUGUACCGGGGCUAAAACAUAUUACCGAAGCUGUGGAUGACACAAAAGUGUCAUGGUAGGAGAGCGUUCUAUGUGUGAAGAAGGUGUACCGUGAGGAGCGCUGGAACGCAUAGAAGUGAGAAUGCCGGUAUGAGUAGCGCAAGACAGGUGAGAAUCCUGUCC